rnacentral:rRNA from 1 species
AUUGAACGCUGGCGGCAGGCUUAACACAUGCAAGUCGAGCGGAGAUGAGGUGCUUGCACCUUAUCUUAGCGGCGGACGGGUGAGUAAUGCUUAGGAAUCUGCCUAUUAGUGGGGGACAACAUUCCGAAAGGAAUGCUAAUACCGCAUACGUCCUACGGGACAAAGCAGGGGAUCUUCGGACCUUGCGCUAAUAGAUGAGCCUAAGUCGGAUUAGCUAGUUGGUGGGGUAAAGGCCUACCAAGGCGACGAUCUGUAGCGGGUCUGAGAGGAUGAUCCGCCACACUGGGACUGAGACACGGCCCCGGCUCCUACGGGAGGCAGCAGUGGGGAAUAUUGGACAAUGGGGGGAACCCUGAUCCAGCCAUGCCGCGUGUGUGAAGAAGGCCUUAUGGUUGUAAAGCACUUUAAGCGAGGAGGAGGCUACUGAGACUAAUACUCUUGGAUAGUGGACGUUACUCGCAGAAUAAGCACCGGCUAACUCUGUGCCAGCCGCCGCGGUAACAC